UAGGUAUAGUUAAUCUGCCCUACACAAGAGGACAACAGUUGGAAACGACUGCUAAUACUCUAUACUCCUGCUUAACACAAGUUGAGUAGGGAAAGUUUUUCGGUGUAGGAUGAGACUAUAUAGUAUCAGCUAGUUGGUAAGGUAAUGGCUUACCAAGGCUAUGACGCUUAACUGGUCUGAGAGGAUGAUCAGUCACACUGGAACUGAGACACGGUCCAGACUCCUACGGGAGGCAGCAGUAGGGAAUAUUGCGCAAUGGGGGAAACCCUGACGCAGCAACGCCGCGUGGAGGAUGACACUUUUCGGAGCGUAAACUCCUUUUCUUAGGGAAGAAUUCUGACGGUACCUAAGGAAUAAGCACCGGCUAACUCCGUGCCAGCAGCCGCGGUAAUACGGAGGGUGCAAGCGUUACUCGGAAUCACUGGGCGUAAAGGGCGCGUAGGCGGAUUAUCAAGUCUCUUGUGAAAUCUAAUGGCUUAACCAUUAAACUGCUUGGGAAACUGAUAGUCUAGAGUGAGGGAGAGGCAGAUGGAAUUGGUGGUGUAGGGGUAAAAUCCGUAGAUAUCACCAAGAAUACCCAUUGCGAAGGCGAUCUGCUGGAACUCAACUGACGCUAAGGCGCGAAAGCGUGGGGAGCAAACAGGAUUAGAUACCCUGGUAGUCCACGCCCUAAACGAUGUACACUAGUUGUUGGGGUGCUAGUCAUCUCAGUAAUGCAGCUAACGCAUUAAGUGUACCGCCUGGGGAGUACGGUCGCAAGAUUAAAACUCAAAGGAAUAGACGGGGACCCGCACAAGCGGUGGAGCAUGUGGUUUAAUUCGAAGAUACGCGAAGAACCUUACCUGGGCUUGAUAUCCUAAGAACCUUUUAGAGAUAAGAGGGUGCUAGCUUGCUAGAACUUAGAGACAGGUGCUGCACGGCUGUCGUCAGCUCGUGUCGUGAGAUGUUGGGUUAAGUCCCGCAACGAGCGCAACCCACGUAUUUAGUUGCUAACGGUUCGGCCGAGCACUCUAAAUAGACUGCCUUCGUAAGGAGGAGGAAGGUGUGGACGACGUCAAGUCAUCAUGGCCCUUAUGCCCAGGGCGACACACGUGCUACAAUGGCAUAUACAAUGAGACGCAAUACCGCGAGGUGGAGCAAAUCUAUAAAAUAUGUCCCAGUUCGGAUUGUUCUCUGCAACUCGAGAGCAUGAAGCCGGAAUCGCUAGUAAU
rnacentral:rRNA from 1 species